CGGCUGGACCAUCAUCAGGAGGUAUUUAUCCGUGAAAUAUGUCUUGGAACUAUUUUUGUUUCUUGUGUCAGUAAAUUUAGAAAAAUACCUAUGGAUGGGCCUGAGUUCAAUGUGAAAGUUUUCUUUUUGAGUUUAUGUGAAAACGGAAAAAGAUAAAAGGUAUUUACUGACUUUAGACCAACCGUAAACAAUUUUAUAACGACUCUUUUAACUUUCUGAAACAAAUAAUUAAACUGUACAGAUGACAAAGGAUAUUCCUAAUUGACACAUGUCUUAAUCACCAGGACCCCUCUGCUGGAGCGGAGGAUGACCCGGAGCAGGAUCCCAUGGAUACCACGGUCGGACCAUCGGCAGGAGGACCUCUCCGCUGAUGUGGAGGAUGACCCGGAGCAGGAUCCCAUGGAUACCACGGCCGGACCAUCGGCAGGAGGAAUCCUCCGCUGGAGCCUAAGAUGAGCUGGAGGAGGACUCAUGGAUACCACGGCCGGACCAUCGGCAGGAGGACCUCUCCGCUGAUGCGGAGGAUGACCCGGAGCAGGAUCCCAUGGAUACCAUGGCCGGACC